AUAUGAGCAACCCCCACUCUGAGACAUGAGCUCAGAGUGAGUGGGUCCCUUCGGACAGGUGGCGAGGAGGCAUCCCUCAUGCAUGUGGUGAGAGUGAUGAGGAACCACUACCAUCUGCACAGUGGUGAUAGAACCUCAAGAAUGCACUUAACAAGGUAAGACAGCCAUGAAUGCAUAGUUCUUAUUUGAAAUAAUUACUUGAGCAUUAUUUCAUUUCUUUGAAUAAUAUCAUCACAACUAACUGUAUUCUCCUUCUUCUUUGGGUCGUCAGCACUUUACAGCCUCCUGUGCACUCACAAAAAACAGUUACUAAAGAAAAGACUCCAAACUUCAGAUGAGGACCAACACAAAUAAAUUCCUUUCCUGUCUGAAAGAAAACAAACCCUGAAAAGUGUACUUUUAUAAUUUUUCCUUUUCAAAAUAUUCCUGUUAUCAGUAACAUGUCUGUUAAAUUUAUUUUUCAAUUACUUUGUUCUUAAUUGUUUGUGUUUACUUUCAUUCAUGUCUGUGAACUGCAGACUAGAAAUAUACUAUUUUUCAUUGGUGUCAGCUUUAUUCUAAGUACACACUUACAAGUAAGUCUGUACUUAAAAUAAGGAUUACUAUUAAAACUAUUUAAAUAUUGUAUUAUUUUGUACUUGAGCUAUACCAUCUGGAACUAUCCUAAAAUUUCAUUGUGUGACAUCUAAGCCUUCUUCAGUCAAAAGUACCAAGAAAAAAUGGUAUACAGUCUUUUAGAAUUCCAGCCCUGAACAAGGCCAUCAGUGCUAAAAAAAAAAA